rnacentral:rRNA from 1 species
CGCGUAGGCGGCCUGGUAAGUCCGGAGUGAAAGUCCUGCUUUUAAGGUGGGAAUUGCUUUGGAUACUGUUGGGCUCGAGUGCAGGAGAGGAAAGCGGAAUUACCGGUGUAGCGGUGAAAUGCGUAGAGAUCGGUAGGAACACCAGUGGCGAAGGCGGCUUUCUGGACUGAAACUGACGCUGAGGCGCGAAAGCGUGGGGAGCAAACA